rnacentral:lncRNA from 1 species
AAUAAUGCCACCUCAUAGAAUCCCAUGGGUUUUAAAUGAGUUAACUGGAUAAAAUAUUUAACUUAUGGUGCAUGGCCCAUCGUAAAUAACCAAUAAAUGUAUUAUUGUUAUUAAAGGUAUGAAAAGGCAUAUCAGUUUAAAAUAUAAACUUAUAUAAGUAAGUGCAAAAGAAUGGUUUGGUAAUUAAUAGAACUUUUCUUUAUAUUACAAAUCCAAAUAACUCAUAAAUAUCUAAAUCAAGAGCACGUUAAUUAAACCUCCAUUAAAACUUGAUCAAUUCAGUGUUAGCUUAACCAAAUAAAGUAGCCUUAAGGAAAUUUGGAUUUAGAUCCUGCCUCCAUUGUUCAUGUAGCAAGAAGUUGAUUGGUAACCUUAAUUACAACUGCAAAGCCCUUUAGCCAUGUAAUAUAUUUAUGAAAGUAUCGCCAAGGAGCAAAUUACAAAAGCCAAAAUUUUGUCUACCACACAUGUAGACUGAAACAUCUUUAUAUGUAUCUUCAUGGUUUUCAAGAACAAAAAUCUGGAAACAACUCUAAAACUUAUCUUAAACAUACAUUUAUUUCUUACAGUUCUGAAGGCUAAGAAGUCCAAGAUUAAGAUGCCAGCUGACUCAGUGUCUGAUGAGGGCCCUCUUCCUGGUUUUCAGAUAGUCAACUUCUUACUGGAUCCUCACAUGAUGGAGAGAGGAAGCUUAUAAGAAUGCUAACAUUAUGGUGGCUUUAUUCUCAUCACUUCAUCUAAACCUAAUUACCUCUCAAAGGGCAGUCUAGCUCUCUGCCUGUGGCAGAGUAUUUUACCUAGCAGGACAACUUCACAUGGCGGUGCCAGCCAAGUGGCUCACAUAGAACUACUUCUAGUUUCCCUUGACUGACAGAAAAUUCAGACAUUCAUAUCAAGUCAUCAUCAUCAAUGUCACUGCUUCCUCCACUUGAUAUUUAAAUGAGGAAAAGUUAGCCACAGGGAAUCAGCAUCAUGGUAAGAUAUUGUGAUUGUUAAUUUUAUAUUUCAGUGUGGCUGGGUCAUGGCUCCCAGAUAUAUGGUCAGACAUUAUUCUGAAUGUUUCUGUGAGGGUGUGUUCGAGUGAGACUAACAUUUAAAUUAGUUGAAUUUGAGUAUCUCUGCAACUGUAAAGCCAUACUGCCUAUAUGAUACCACCAUGUAAUGGUUAAUCUUCCUUUCCAAUUUAUGGUGCAAAUUUUAAAAAGAGCACUGUCUUCAUAAUACCAAAGUUAAAAUUAUUUUUCUGCUACAUUUUGAAAUAUUGCAUUUUGGCUUGGAAAUAACUUAAUAAAAAUAGUUUAGUCAUAGUAAUUCUAUGCCUAAACAAUGUU